rnacentral:lncRNA from 1 species
UAUAAUUUCUAUGUCAUUCUUUUUAACGUCCAUCAUUUUUUGGUCACAUGCUAUUUUUUCGAAAUACAUGAGAUAACAAUAUGUCUCUAUUCUUAACACGAUAUUUUUUCAUAUUACACGUUAUUUAUUAGGAUUACAUGUUAUUUUUUCAAAAAAAAAAUUUCUUAAUUCUAAAAACGCAUUACUUUUACAAAAAAAAAAACCCGGAUCUUUUUCACUAAGACAUAUUUUUGUUAAAUAAAAUUUAUUUUUCACUUAAUCUCACAGAAUAAUUAUAUUUCAUCAACACUCAUCC